AGAACGAACGUUGGCGGCCUGGAUUAGGCAUGCAAGUUGAGCGUACCCAGCAAUGGGGAGCAGCGUAAGGGGCAGUAAGGCAUGGGUAUCUACCCGGGGAUCGGGCAUAGCCUGUAGAGAUACAGGGUAAUUCCCGAUGAUGUCGCAAGACCAAAGCUCCGGCGUCCCUGGAGGAGCCCAUGUGAUAUUAGCUAGUUGGUGGGGUAACGGCCUACCAAGGCGAAGAUGUCUAGCGGGUGUGAGAGCACGACCCGCGCCACUGGCACUGAGACACUGGCCAGACACCUACGGGUGGCUGCAGUCGAGGAUCUUCGGCAAUGGGCGCAAGCCUGACCGAGCGAGGCCGCGUGGGCGAUGAAGGCCUUCGGGUUGUAAAGCCCUGUCGAGGGGAGAAAAGCCCGCAAGGUGUGAUCUAUCCCUGGAGGAAGCACGGCUAAGUUCGUGCCAGCAGCCGC
rnacentral:rRNA from 1 species